GCUGAGAACAAGUGCUCUUGAACACUGAGCUAACUCUCCACCCGUGUUCUUUCGUUUUGAUAGGGCCUUACUAUGACAAUCCCCCUGCCUCAGCCUCCUGAAGGCUGUGGUGACUGUCAUAUGACACUUUAUCUGCUGAGUUUAUUUUUCAAACAGGAAUGUCACUGUGUAUCUCACAGUACAUUAAAAAAAACAUUAUUUCUGUAGGAUGUUUCUAUAUGGGGCUCAGUGGGAGUGAGAAGUCUGGCUACAUAUUUAGUAAGUGUGUCUAUUUUGAUAGCUUUGGCUAAUAAGGUUUCUUUGUUGGGGCUGUCCUUAAAUAGAUUCCCUGUCAGGCUGUGCCGGUGUGACUUGCAGAUACUUUCCAGACUUCUUGUGACUGCCUCCUCUUUCCUCACAUGCCUGGUCCUCUCCAGCUUCCCCUCCCCAUGCCCUUCCUGACAUCUUGGGGCACCCUGUGAUUAACAUCUGUGUUGUCCUUUGUCCUUCUCACUUAGACUGUAUUUGUUAUUCUUGUCUUGGGCUCCUCGGAGGACGCUGCGUGGCACUGGGGCUGUGUGUGUGCUGAAUGAAUUAGACCGGUCAGCCAACUUGGAGUAGUAGGCCUCAAACAGGGUAAAGAUUUAACUACUUCAUUACAGGGAGCUUUCUGCUGGAGCUACUGUCUGGAACGGGCUCAGAUUCUGUUUUGAAGAAGUGCGCCCAUUGUUGACUGCCCACUGCCCUGGAGGAAUACAGCAAGCAGGGCAAAUUGUAUGGCUAAGGUUGAUUUCGUCUCUGGUAUGUGAUUAACUUGGGGAGAGGGAGAGAGAAAUAUUCACUGGGAACAAAGAAUUCAAAAUGAGUGAGGUGGACCUAGUGACAACCACACUACUUCCUACGUGAGGUUUAAUACGAAGUGAUCCUUUCUGAUGCCUGAAUUUGUCCUAGCAGGUAGCAAAGAAUGUCUAGACUCCCCAAAAGGCAAGAUAAGUCUACAGUAAGAAGUACCUGGGAUGGGGAUUUGGCUCAAUGUACCUAUUAGAAAGGCCAGUAUGGUCAGAACUAAGGCUAGACACUCUCCUGACCAGCAUCUAGUCCCUGGAGUGGGCUUUGGAGCAAUAAUCAUCUGACCCAAGGUAGAGUUUCAGGAGCGCAGGAGUCUGGAGGUGUGAUGCCCCACAGGGUAGCAGCCAGGAGCUGAAAUCUGGCCCACUGGAAUGGCUUGGUGAGUAGCCUUCUUCUUCAUUCCUGUUAUGGUUGAGACAAAGCUUCCUUCCAAAUGGGUCAUUGUGAAGCUUACUCUCUUGCUAACUAGUGGGUGGAGCCACUCACUGAGGGGUGAUUGUGUUGUGGAGGCUCUGACCUCAGUAGGGUUCAGAAUUUGUUGGUAUUAAUGUUAGGUGUGUCACCGCUGACAGGGUGUCUUGUCCUUAGCUUCUCCCCUGUCUCCUGUGAGGCUCCUGUGAGGUGGCGCUCUGCUCUACCAGGCCUUCCUGCUAUCAUGAGUCCCACACCAAUGGAGAAAUCCAAUCAGAGACCAAGACCUCCAAGGCAGGGAGCCAAAGUAAACCUUUCUUACUUUAUACCAUUUUCCCCUCAGGUUAUUUGUUGCAGCAACAGGAAACUGACCAACACCAUCCUGUACACUGUGGCUCUUCCCUCUGAUGAGAAGUGUGGGGUGUGGAGCUGAAGCCUCAAUGUCUAAGACCACGUUCUACCAAUUACCCACAUAUAGACACGCUCCAAGGCCUGAUGGGAAGGGCCAUCUGUGUAUCUUGCUUAGAACAGCAGCUGGCACUGUGUGGAAGAACAGUGACUCGGGCUGGAGAGAUGGCUCAGCGGUUAAGAGCACUGACUGCUCUUCCAGAGGUCCUGAGUUCAAUUCCCAGCAUCCACAUGGUGGCUCACAACCAUCUGUAAUGGGAUCUGAUGCCCUCUUCUGGUGUGAAGACAGCUACAGUGUACUCACAUACAUAAAAUAAUAAAUUUUUUUUUUUUACAGAACAGUGACUCAUACAAUGACCUUGAACUUCUAAUCUUCCUGCAUCUACCUCCAAGUGCUAGGAUCACAAGCAUAUACAUAUAUAUGUAUAUACAUAUACGCUUAUACAUAUACAUGUAUAAGCAUAUAGAAGUAGCUGUGUGUGUGUGUGUGUGUGUGUGUGUGUGUGUGUGUGUGUGUGUCUGUCUCCCU
rnacentral:lncRNA from 1 species